GACAAAAGCAAAGAAUUUGAAAAAAGAGUCAAUAUUCGCUGUGAUAUUUCGGGGAGGAGAAAGCGGAUGGGGGCCGGUCGCAUGUUUCCCACUCAGAUGGGGAUUUGUGAGAGGUGGUCUCCCAAUCGACUUGGGGCUUGGACCGAUGCGGAUUGAGACGCUGCCUAGGGUGGGCCUUUGUUACACCCGUGGAGACGUCUCUCCCGAAAAAGCUGGAAAGCGCGCCUUAUGGCCAGCCCGCGAUGUUCCGGCCGACUCGCUCGACGGGAUACAGAUGGCGCGAGGCCGCUACGUAAAUUAGCGUCCGACCCGCGGCAAGCGCGUUCGAUGCUAAGACGGCGAUCGGACCUAGCGCCUUCCG
rnacentral:rRNA from 1 species